AAGUCGUAACAAGGUUUCCGUAGGUGAACCUGCGGAAGGAUCAUUACCGUGGGGCUUCGGCCCCAUUGAGAUAGCACCCUUUGUUUAUGAGUACCCUUGUUUCCUCGGCGGGCUUGCCCGCCAGAGGACAUUCAAAACCCUUUGUAGUAGCAGUAACUUCAGUUAAUAAUAAAUAUUAAAACUUUCAACAACGGAUCUCUUGGUUCUG
rnacentral:misc_RNA from 1 species